UACAGAGGUCUCAAGCGUUGUUCGGAUUCAUUGGGCGUAAAGGGUGUGUAGGUGGCUUCGUAAGUCGGGUGUGAAAUUUCGGAGCUUAACUCCGAAACUGCAUUCGAUACUGCGGUGCUUGAGGACUGGAGAGGAGACUGGAAUUCAUGGUGUAGCAGUGAAAUGCGUAGAGAUCAUGAGGAAGACCAGUGGCGAAGGCGGGUCUCUGGACAGUUCCUGACACUGAGACACGAAGGCCAGGGGAGCAAGCGGG
rnacentral:rRNA from 1 species